rnacentral:misc_RNA from 1 species
AUAAUAUGGGGUCUAUGCAUAAAGUUAAUCAAUUUUCUUAAUAUGUCCAAUCCUUAUUACAGGUUCAAGUCUAAAUUCAUGCUUCAUUUGUAUUCUAUAUUUUAUACACUUCUAUUAACAGGCGCAAAUAACACGUGCAACACAUGUACGUGCUAAAACUAGUAAGAUGUAUGAAUAUGGGCUCAAGGGAAUAUAUAAUGUAAAGCAAUAUAUACGGGAAACUCCUCUAUAUUUCUUCCAACUUUCUAAGUCGG